AGACACGGAAGCUAAGUGGAAUCUUCCAGCUCAGAAACUGUGCGCUGGGGAGCAGGAACGGACAACAGGUGAUAUGGGGCGGCCAGGUUCACACAUAACCACAGACUUUGGUUUAAUGUGACACAAGCAGCAUGCUGGUGUUUGGAGGAAACCAACCAUGAACCUGGGUUUGGAUGACCUGACAAGCUGAACUCCUGGUGGUUUUGUCUGUGGUGCAGCAGCAGCAAGUAUGAGGAAGGAAUUUCCCACAGAGUCAUGCUGGAAGUAAUUAAAUACAAGGAGCCUCCCACUGUCAUCUUAGCAGCUCUGCUUUGCCAGCCUGGUUUCAGCAGACCAUGAAAAGAAAGCAGUUCU